ensembl:lncRNA
GGAGAAUUCUUGCCACCGAGGAAAAAAGUUGCAGAGAUACGGGCCAAGGAGAUGUUAGAAGAAGAAGGGGAGUAUGAGGAGGAAGAGGACGAGGAGGAGGAAGAUGAGGGGCUUGCUGAAGAAGAGGAGGAGGAGGAAGAAGAAGACGAAGAGUAUGAGGACGAAGAUGAAGAAGAAGAAGAGGAAGAAGAUGGUGAUGAGAUCGAGGAGGAGGAAGAAGAGGAUGAAGAAGAAGAAGAGGAGGAGGAAGAAGAAGAGAAGGCAGAUGCUGAGGAGGAGGAAGCAGCAGCAAAGGAAGCUGUGGAGGAGGAGAGUAAAGAAGAGGAGGCUGAAGAAAAGGAGGAAGAGAAGGCAGAUGCUGAGGAGGAAGAGGAGGAGGAAGCAGCAGAGGAAGCUGUGGUGGAGGAGGGAAAAGAAGAGGAGGCUGAAGAAAAGGAGGAAGAGAAGGCAGAUGCUGAGGAGGAAGAGGAGGAGGAAGCAGCAGAGGAAGCUGUGGUGGAGGAGGGAAAAGAAGAGGAGGCUGAAGAAAAGGAGGAAGAGAAGGCAGAUGCUGAGGAGGAAGAGGAGGAGGAAGCAGCAGAGGAAGCUGUGGUGGAGGAGGGAAAAGAAGAGGAGGCUGAAGAAAAGGAGGAAGAGAAGGCAGAUGCUGAGGAGGAAGAGGAGGAGGAAGCAGCAGCAGCAGAGGAAGCUGUGGAGGAGGAGGCUGAAGAAAAUGAAAAAAUGGAAGCUGAUGCUGAGGAAGAAGCAGAAGAUGAAGAGGAGGAAGCAGCAGCAGAAGAAACUGUGGAAAAAGGUAAGGAGGAAGAGGAAGCUGCUGCUGCUCCUGCUGUCGAAAGGGAAGAUACUUCAAUCCCUGCUGAACCUUAUGAGGUGAAAGAAGAACAAGUCACUUCUAAAGAAGCUGAGGCAGCUGAAGAAGAGGAGGAGGAGGAUAAAAUUGAUGUAGUUAAAGAACCACCUGAGGACGAAGAUGGAAAAGAAGAUACUCCUGCUGAUAAUAAAGAGAAAAAAGAAGAAGUAGAUGACAUUACUGAUGAUGACCAAAAAGAUGACCAAAGUGAGGAGAAAGAGGCUGAUAUCGUCAUUUCUCUUGGUAUCAUAGCUGAUGCUGGUGCUACAGUCACUGAUGUUGAAGCACAAGAAACUGACAUAACAACCCUGAAAGAAGAGGAGAAAGAUGAAAAGGAUGAAAGCGUAGAGGAAGUGGAAACUGCCGAAAAAGCACCAAAACCAGAACCGAUCCCUAAAGCCGAGGAAGUGAAAGAAAAAGAAGCAGAGAAACCUGUGGCAGAGGCUGAAAAAGAAGACAAACAAAAAGAGCCCUCUACCUGUCCUUGUAUGCAUUCAGUAAUACAUAAAGAGCCUCAAAAAGCCCAAGACACUAAACCAAAGGAAGAAAAAGCUGAACCUGAUAAAGUAAAGAAAAGAGAAGCAGAGACUAAGAGAAGGGAACCCCUGCUUAAACAGAGAAAAGGUGCAGAGUUAUUGUUUUUUUUCUCAGAUCAGAAUAUUAAAUAUAGAUAGGCAUUUGUUUGUGGAAGAAUAUUGUCCUGAAGUCCUUUUUAUCGCCUCCUCACUAACAUUUGCUCAUCAGAAAAAGAGGCUCCAAUAAGAACAAGACUAGAGAAAGCAAAGAAAGGUAAAAAAGAACAAGCACAAUGUGUGCCUGCCUUUAUAUAUCAUCAUACCCAUACUUGUUUCAAAUGAUUUUUAUAAUCAUUAUAAUCGAUGAAUAUUGCAGAAUCAAAUUUGCUCUCUGCUUCACAGCUCCAAAACCAAAGGCAGCGGCUGUCAACAUACCCAAAACGAGAAGUAAAUCCACAUGAUCUGAUCAUACUUUACUUCUUUAAAGGGAUAGUUCAUCCAUA